UGGCGACCGGCGCACGGGUGAGUAACACGUAUCCAACCUGCCGAUGACUCGGGGAUAGCCUUUCGAAAGAAAGAUUAAUACCCGAUGGCAUAGUUCUUCCGCAUGGUGGAACUAUUAAAGAAUUUCGGUCAUCGAUGGGGAUGCGUUCCAUUAGGUUGUUGGCGGGGUAACGGCCCACCAAGCCUUCGAUGGAUAGGGGUUCUGAGAGGAAGGUCCCUCACAUUGGAACUGAGACACGGUCCAA
rnacentral:rRNA from 1 species